GGGGCUCUUGCUGGUGACCUCUGCACACCUGAGGCCUUUUAAAGGUAAACUCAUCCUCUGUGUUACCAUUCAUCACCCCGAAGAGACCCUGAGUGUGAUUCAUAAACUUCUCUGGGAGCAGAACUGUCAGGGUCAGAAAUCCUCCACUUCCCCUAAUCUCCACUCCAGACCCAGAGGAGAACAUCACUGUAACUUUCUGAUCAUCCGUAGAAUGAAGAAAGAGACCUAAAAUGAUGAGAGAAUGAAGACAAAAUAGUUAAUCACACAAAGCGAAUGGAUGAGGAGUAAGGACUAAUUCUCUUCCUUGGCAAGGAGGAGUAAUUCUCUUCAUCCUCCAUGGGAUGAGAAGGGAAAUCAAUGCCUGCUUCAUUCGUGUAAUCUUUCAUUAUCUUGUAGAGAAAUGAAGUCAAACAUCUCAGUACCAUUUCCAGAAUUUCCCUCUCUUUGUAUUUCUCUACACAUCCCCAAAAGUUCAGGAUAGCACCAAGUGUUGGUGAAGGCUGUCAUUUAUGUUACUUGGACUUUAUGGAAGAGGAGAAGAUGCCUGUCUUCUACAAAUCCAAUGACUCUGCCUCUUCCUGGUGGUGUUGGUAUUACUGCUAUCCUAACUGCCAGCAAUACUGAAAGGCAUGAAAGUAAUAGGAUGUGAUGCUUUGACCCAGGCUGCAUCUGCCUGCUACAUCUCUCCAUGGGGACACAGCCACAGUGUGUGCCUCUAUAGCUGUUUGGAAGGAGAUUAGUGGCCCAUAACUCUGGUGUUUAUAUUCCUGUCCACAGAGUAGCUAUAAUCGGUCUUGAAGACAAGAGGAAUUUGUUCUCUGUAUAAAGACACAGCCAGCAAGGCAGAUUGGAUGGAAAGCACACUCUUUCCCAUGCUUCCCAUAUCUUUCACCAAGGUCUAGCUGUUUAUUACCACUGAUUCUGCCUCAAUCUGGCAACAACUGAAGAAAUGCAGAUAAUAACGUCUAAUUAUCUGGGAUAUUUAAUUUUUAGAGUGACCUGUAGGCUGUUUCUCAAAAGUGCACUGAAAAUAGGAUGGAAAUGCAGGCAUGUAGAGAUCUUUUUAGCUCUAGAGGGGUUCCAGAGAAAUACAAUAGCUUUCAAGGCUGAUAUCUGUAACUAACCUUCCAGGUCCAUCCAACUUUGCUCAGAGAAGUUGACCACCUUCUGGUUCAACAGGACCUCCAGAUUCAAAUCCUCUGAGUAGCGUACUUCAAUCACAUCGGAGUUGUUCUCCUGCAUGGCCACUGCAGACAGGCCUGUCACCUGAGCCUGAGUUCCUUCAGAAAAAGGCACAAAAAAUCAACUUCUCAAGUUACCUUGCAUCAAAUAAACUCAAUUUGGAAGGUGGUAAUUAUACAGGCAACAAAACAGCAGCAACAAGCCAAACAGAAAACACGUAGCACCUGGAUAUCUAAAAUGUCUGUAUGUGAUAAAGUAGCAGAAUGCCAGAACGCAUGCAAUUACUUUGAGAAAAGCAAUUGUGUUUCUGCUGGUAAUGGUUGCUCAUCAGUGUGAGGUGUUCAUCAGCCUGUGAAUGGAGAACAGCCCAGAGAAACACUAGCCAUAGGCUGGGAAUUAAGAAGGCAGAGGGAGAAAGAAGGCCAGAGAAGAUAUAAUGAAUACUGUAAAGAGCGAGUCAAGCAACCUCAGAAGCUGUUGUUUAUCAUCACUGCUUUCUCUCUUACCAACUUACCAUUGGGAAAGCGUGCUUGCUGGGUCCUCCCUUGCACCCUUAGGGAUGUGAGAUCAGACUCUACCAAUAUGUAUUCCCCUUGUCCUUUGAAAGUGAAGUUUAGACCAUCAAAUGUGAGGAAGUGAGGAUCCCCAAAGGCAGAUGCUAUUUUGGAAAGCAAAAACAGAAAUAAGAGCAAGAAAAGCCCACAGUCCAUUAGGAAGCCAAAGCCUCUAGCUAAAUGUCAUCUAUUUAGAUUCCAGGAACUGAUAAGAUGCUCAAGCCAGUUUUGUAGGGCAGUUAAAAAACACGUUUUGCUACUGACAGAUCAGUUGAAUCCUGCCAUGGAAAUUUUCUACAGGAUAUUGUGCCCUCAGCACUGCCAACUGGCAUUAAUACAUACACAGACAUCCUAAAAGCCAAACCUGUAUGGAAAGUCUACUCCAAAAUGGAAUUCUGGAGCUCUUACCAGCUCGGGGUGGGCGAUACGUCCUGCAGUCGCUUGAGGGGCGGUUUUUCAUAUAGAAGUGACAAUUAUCAGACCACAGGCAACAGUAAUAGAAGCUGAUAACAUCAUAAAGCCAAUGGGAAAAGGCAGGUAUCCGGGGAGGCUUCAGGAAGGGUGGUGCCCCCCAGUCAUGGCCUCGAUCAGGUGUGCUGCCUCCUGUGGAAUCUUGUGUGAGGAUUUGGGUCCCUGUGGAGUCGUAGCAGCACUGCUGUCCUGCUCUGUACUGGGGGCUGGUUGAGAAAUGUAGGAAGAGGAAUGUCAUCAUUCAGCUCUGGGAGGUCCGUUUGUGUUUAAUGGCUGCCUUUACGUGGACAUGAACAGAUGUUUUGGUUACCAAGCUCUAUGAUAUCCACAAAAGGUGUGUCAGUAAAUAUUUUUGUUUCUGCUCUUAUGGAAUAGAUCAGAUCAGGGAUUGGGUGGGAUUGGUCUUUAACCAAGGCUGUGGGGAAGCUCUGCAGGCCUUAUGGCCACACAUGCAUAGCACUACUAGCAUUAUUCUGAGAGAACAAGUGCAACCAACAACCAUCACAAAAAAGGCUUAAUUAAGUCUAAUCAAACUGCUUUUAGAUAUUACUGCUUGUUUAUGUAUCUUGAGGUUCAGCACUGUGCAAGUAAUUGUCCAGUAAGACUAAGGCAUUAACUUCACCUCAGCAAUGAGGAGUAAUAGGGGAGCAAGAGAGAAACAGUGAUUGCCUUAAACCUGAUUGCUGAGACUCCAGAGGCCUUUCUGACUUCUGUGAUGCUAUGAUCUCUGAGGUGAAACAAGUCAUUAAAAAAAAAAUGUGGCUACAAAAAUUGUUCUUUACCUGGCUUGAAUGGCCCUUACACAGUGCACAGCGCCAGGGUG